rnacentral:rRNA from 1 species
AUUGAACGCUGGCGGCAUGCCUUACACAUGCAAGUCGAACGGUAACAGGUCUUCGGAUGCUGACGAGUGGCGAACGGGUGAGUAAUACAUCGGAACGUGCCUAGUAGUGGGGGAUAACUACUCGAAAGAGUGGCUAAUACCGCAUGAGAUCUACGGAUGGAAGCAGGGGAUCGCAAGACCUUGUGCUACUAGAGCGGCCGAUGGCAGAUUAGGUAGUUGGUGGGAUAAAAGCUUACCAAGCCGACGAUCUGUAGCUGGUCUGAGAGGACGAUCAGCCACACUGGGACUGAGACACGGCCCAGACUCCUACGGGAGGCAGCAGUGGGGAAUUUUGGACAAUGGGCGCAAGCCUGAUCCAGCAAUGCCGCGUGCAGGAUGAAGGCCUUCGGGUUGUAAACUGCUUUUGUACGGAACGAAAAGCCCUGGGUUAAUACCCUGGGGUCAUGACGGUACCGUAAGAAUAAGCACCGGCUAACUUCGUGCCAGCAGCCGCCGUAA